UUGGGAAUCUUGCACAAUGGGCGAAAGCCUGAUGCAGCGACGCCGCGUGGAGGACGAAGUCCUUCGGGAUGUAAACUCCUUUUGCCAGGAAAGAACAAUGACGGUACCUGGUGAAUAAGCCCCGGCUAACUACGUGCCAGCAGCCGCGGUGAGACGUAGGGGGCGAGCGUUGUCCGGAUUUACUGGGCGUAAAGAGCGCGUAGGCGGUUUGCUAAGUCAGAUGUGAAAUCUCCAGGGCUCAACCCGGAAACUGCAUUUGAUACUGGCAGGCUGGAGUGUCGGAGAGGUAAUUGGAAUUCCCGGUGUAGCGGUGACAUGCAUUGAUAUCGGGAGGAACACCCAUGGCGAAGGCAGAUUACUGGCCGACAACUGACGCUGAGGCGCGAAAGCGUGGGGAGCAAACAGA
rnacentral:rRNA from 1 species